rnacentral:piRNA from 1 species
UCCGACGUAUGUACACUGUCC